CAAAGGCUUGGUCCUGACUUUACUGUCAACUUUAGCUAAACUUACACAUGCAAGUCUCCGCAUCCCCGUGAGAAUCCCCACAGUACUCUGCCCGAGAACAAGGAGCUGGUAUCAGGCACAUACAUUUAUAGCCCAUAACACCUUGCUUAGCCACACCCUCAAGGGAAUUCAGCAGUGAUAGACAUUAAGCCAUAAGUGAAAACUUGACUUAGUUAAAGCCAAAAGGGCCGGUCAAACUCGUGCCAGCCACCGCGGUUAUACGAGAGGCCCAAGUUGACAGGUACCGGCGUAAAGAGUGGUUAGGAGUACAUAUAAACUAAAGCCGAACGUUUUCAAAGCUGUUAUACGCUUUCGAAAAUAAGAAGCCCUACUACGAAAGUGGCUUUAUUUCCCCCGACUCCACGAGAGCUGCGAAACAAACUGGGAUUAGAUACCCCACUAUGCCCAGCCCUAAACUUAGAUAGUGCAAUACACCAACUAUCCGCCAGGGGACUACAAGCAUAGCUUAAAACCCAAAGGACUUGGCGGUGCUUUAGACCCACCUAGAGGAGCCUGUUCUAUAACCGAUAAUCCCCGUUAAACCUCACCCUUCCUUGUUAUUUCCGCCUAUAUACCGCCGUCGUCAGCUUACCCUGUGAAGGUCUCAUAGUAAGCAAAAUUAGUAUAAACCCAAAACGCCAGGUCGAGGUGUAGUAGAUGGAAGGGGAAGAAAUGGGCUACAUUCCCUGUUACCCGGGAAUACGAACAAUGUAAUGAAAAGUACAUUAGAAGGAGGAUUUAGCAGUAAGCAUGAAAAUAGAGUGUUCUGCUGAAACUGGCCCUGAAGCGCGCACACACCGCCCGUCACCCUCCCUAACGCCAUAUAAACCAAUUAUAUUUACACAAAAGGAGGCAAGUCGUAACAUGGUAAGUGUAUCGGAAGAUGCACUUGGAAAAAU
rnacentral:ncRNA from 1 species